GGAAUGCUGACAAGCAGCUCAGGAGAGAUGAAAUGCAGCCCAAAAUCGAGGUCCAAGCCCAUGUUACUCAUGGUGUUUCUCAGGGUGUUUCUCAGGUGAAAUGGCAGGAGCUGGGAGGGAGGUCUGGUUCUCAAACUCCUGGGCACCUAGAAGCUGCUUAGAACCAUGAAGAGCUGAGAAAGGGGCAUGAGGACCUGUGAUGUUUCCUGGGUCAGGGGAAAUCUGGCUGAGCUCAGGAUGUAAAGUAACUUUAUGGUCUUAGACAUGAAGAAUUUGGAGAAUUCCAGUGAACAGCAUCUAUUAUAAAACUCUUAUUCUCUGAGGAAAGGUAUUAUCUUUCUCAAAAAAGGCAGUAACAUCUUUCUCAAGGUCUUAAGGACCUGAAGAUUAAUUAAUUUCCAGAGAAAACAGGUACUAAUACGGUGCCUCUCCCGUCUUUCCCAUGUCCGUGGUUAUGGAAGCGGCAGGCAAACUGAUGUUGAAACUCUAGAUAAAUAUCUACAAUGGAACAUUUAUUGAUAUCUGUAUUUAGAUAUUUUGUGUCAAAUGUCCUGGAUGUCAAUUUGUCAUCAGAAGAUUAUUGAUUUGCAUUUGAAACUGGAGAUGAAGAUUUCUGAUGGAGUGGAAAUGAAAAAUUAUGGCAAUGAUUCCCCAACUCAUCCUAAUAAUUGCCUAUGAGUCUCCACCAGUUUCUUGAUGAAGCUCUCUGAUGAUAAUUGGACUAGACUCUAAUAUAUAGUAAAGCACAAUAUCGUCUCUGUGGCAUCUAGACACUGUUUCCUGGAAGCAGACAUCAGCUGUAGGCUUCCACUCAUGGCAUGGACCUCAAGUUGUACCAAUUAUUCAUUUGGCCACACCAUCAUCAAUUGCAGACAGAAAAAAAUUAUAAGGAUGAGCAAAUCACUGAAUCUUCUUCAGAGAACAUCAAUAUGUAUUUAUGUCCCUGCUGAUUCACCAGAAUAUUGGAGGGAGGGACAGAUAAGAUCUACUGAUCAGAAAUUUUGGGAAUCUGAUAUGAAAUACGUAAGAACAAAGCACAAUGUUUUUAUUUCAUGAAAAGCUCAAAUCAUUAUACUAUCACAUGUUAGCAUCUUAACACAGCACUGAAUCCAUACUGGGAUCAAAGUUGGUACCAUGGGAAUAGUUAUUUAAUAGAAAGCAGAAUAUUUGUGACAACUGCCAUUCCUAUUCAACAAAUUGGCAAGCAAUGCAUCAAAAUCAUGUAAACUCAGUAAAAAAAAGCUGAAUAAAAUACAGAAUGGCCAAAAAUAAAACUACUCAGGUCAGAAAUAUGUUUUUGAAUGUAAUGUAGCCACAACCAUGUUUUGAAGAGAAACCUCAGCACUUGGAAGAAAUAUAAUCCAAUAGCAUAACAGAAAGGAGGCUUUGUCUGGUUAUGAGGCGUGAAAGUACAAGGCAGAACUCUCCUCAGUAAAGAUUGCAACCCUCCUACAGAGAGCUGAACUGUAUGCAAGAGCCUAACCCAGCAAGGAAGACUUUCUGAGCUUACUGAUUUGGUUUUACAAAAAGAUUGACAGCAGCUCUAUUACAACCUGUAAAUUUAGCUGCAAAAUACAACUUGGUGUAUGUGGGAAAACAUGUUUAUCCAAGCAAAGAAAAAGCUUGAAAUU
rnacentral:lncRNA from 1 species